rnacentral:rRNA from 1 species
AUUGAACGCUGGCGGCAUGCCUUACACAUGCAAGUCGAACGGCAGCGGGGGAGAAGCUUGCUUUUCCUGCCGGCGAGUGGCGAACGGGUGAGUAAUACAUCGGAACGUGCCCUGUAGAGGGGGAUAACUAGUCGAAAGAUUAGCUAAUACCGCAUACGACCUGAGGGUGAAAGUGGGGGACCGCAAGGCCUCAUGCUAUAGGAGCGGCCGAUGUCUGAUUAGCUAGUUGGUGGGGUAAAGGCCUACCAAGGCGACGAUCAGUAGCUGGUCUGAGAGGACGAUCAGCCACACUGGGACUGAGACACGGCCCAGACUCCGACGGGAGGCAGCAGUGGGGAAUUUUGGACAAUGGGCGAAAGCCUGAUCCAGCAAUGCCGCGUGUGUGAAGAAGGCCUUCGGGUUGUAAAGCACUUUUGUCCGGAAAGAAAUGGCUCUGGUUAAUACCUGGGGUCGAUGACGGUACCGGAAGAAUAAGGACCGGCUAACUACGUGCCAGCAGCCGCCGUAA